AUGACGACACAACCCAUGAACACUUUAAGUUGGAAUGUCCGUGGGCUGAACUGCCCGGCUCAGAGGGUAACGGUUAGCGCAACAAUCGCCGCCUCCUCAUGCCAACUUGUCUGUCUUCACGAGACAAAGCUCAACAAUGUCGAUAAAUUCGUCGCUGCCUUCAUGGGUGGCAAUAGGCUUCAAAGCUUUGCACAACGCCCAGCGUUAGGGACUAGGGGAGGAAUUCUCCUCCUAUGGGAUGACAAUGUGCUCGACGUCUCUGAUAUCACCGUAUCGACCUAUUGCCUCUCUGGCAUGGUCCGUAUCCGUGCAUCCGAUGUAUGCUUUAGGGUCACGUCUGUAUAUGGGCCAACAGAUCACUCUUGCAAAGAUUUUUUUGCCGAGCUCAUCUCUCACAAGCCUCCCAACGGGAUUGCUUGGUUGGCCCUUGGGGAUUUCAACCAAAUUUACCGCGCACGAGACAAAAACAAGAGAAAUUUUAACCGGAGCAGGAUCACUCGCUUCCGAGCUGCACUACAAGCCUGUGAGCUCAAGGAAAUUCACCUACAGAAUAGGCGCUUCACUUGGAAUAAUGAGCAGGACAACCCAACUCUUUGCAAGCUCGACUCCUUCUGUAAUGCAGAGUGGGAUAUGGCAUUCAAUACCCAUGUGCUUCAUGCUUUGUCAUCUUCCCUCUCUGACCAUUGCCCCCUCCUGCUUGCGGAUGACAAAGGGCCUAGAAGGCCAAGAUCUUUCAAGUUCGAAAACUUCUGGGCUUCUUUGCCUGGCUUCUCCGAGGUGGUGCAAAAGGCAUGGGAUGAGCAUGUCGGGCACUCGGAGUCGUACCAAGUCCUAUACCACAAGCUCAAAAAAACCGCGACCCGGCUUACUGAAUGGAGCAAGAAACUAUUCUCCAAGGCGAAGGUCCAACUCCAUGCGGCCCUACUUGUGAUUCUUCACCUCGACAUUGCGCAGGAGGCGAGGGUCCUCUCUCCAGAGGAACGUGACAUAUGCUCGAGGCUCAAGCGGAGGGUGAUCACUUUGGCGGUGCUCGAGAGGACUAGGAAGAGCCGAUGUGCUCGGUUGGCAAACUUGAGGCAUGGGGAUGCAAACACAAAAUUCUUCCACCGCUGCAUCAAUGCCAGAAGAAGGAAGAAUCACAUUCACCGUAUUAAACACGCGCAUGGGUGGGUGACUGAGCACAAGGAAAAAGAGAAGAUCAUCCAUGACCAUUUCUCCGAGGUUAUGAGUAGGGGGCGUAGUAGCAACAAAGACUUCAACUGGGAUGAGCUUGGGGUGGAGACCCAUGACUUGCGCGACCUGGGUAACGCCAUCACGGAGGAUGAGGUUUGGGCGGCCAUAAAAGAGAUGCCUAGUGAUAAGGCGCCCGGUCCAGAUGGCUUCACGGGUAUCUUCUUCAAGAAGUGUUGGGGAAUCAUCAAGCAUACGGUCAUGAGGGUCAUCCAGUGUUCCAACUCCCUUCAAACCUCCAACCUUCAUUGGGUGAAUCCCGCCAAUGUUGUUCCACUACAAAAAAAAUACACUUCCGUGAUGAUACGUGUUUGUCACAGUAGGUCGCAUUUUCUGUCAUGCAUGUACAUCCAUGACGAUUUUAUGACAGAAUCAAGAUAG
rnacentral:rRNA from 1 species